rnacentral:rRNA from 1 species
GAACGCUGGCGGUGGGCCUUACACAUGCAAGUUGAACGCAUUUAAAAAUGAGUAGCAGACGGGUGAGUAAUGCGAAAGAAUCUACCCUUUGGUUCGGUCUAAGAGAGAAUAUAAAUAAGUUUUAUAUUGUAUCGAAUCCCGACUAAUACAUAAAGGCAAAGAACCGCCGAAGGAUGAGCUUUGGUAGGAUUAGGUAGUUGGUUAGGUAAAAGCUGACCAAGCCAAAGAUCCUUAGUUGAUCUGAAAGGUUGAUCAGCCACACUGGGAUUGAGACACGGCCCAGACGCCGUUGGGUGGCAGCAGUGAGGGAUAUUGGACAAUGAGCGCAAGCUUGAUCCAGCCGAGCCGCGUGAGGGCAAGAGCCUCUUAGUGACCAUCGUGACCCACAAAAACCACCGUGGGUAUCAUCAUGUGGUGUCUUUUUUUAAAUGAAGACAAGAGAGGCCGAAGGCUAACCUAGGUUGUAAACCUCUGACUUAAAGCAAGAUGAUGACAUAUCUUGAAGUAGAAGUCCCGGCAAACUCCGUGCCAGCAGCCGCGGUAAUACGGGGGGGGCAAGCGUUAUUCGUCAUGACUGGGCGUAAAGCGCAUGUAGGUGGUUUUGAGCCGCCGUUCAUACAAAUCCCUAGGCUUACCUUAGGUAUUAUGUGCAGGUGGUAAAAACUAGAGUAAGUGAAAGGAGAGUAGAAUUCUUGGUGGAGAGGUGGAAUUUAUAGAUACCAGGAGGAAUUCCGAGAGCGAAGGCAGCUCUCUAGCACUUAACUGACGCUGAGAUGCUAAAGCGUGGGUAUCGACGGGGAUUAGAGACCCCCUUAGUCCACGCCCUCAACGAUGAAAAUUCACCAUUAGAUUAAUUUCGGUUACUUUAGUGGUUUAGCUAACGCGUUAAAUUUUCCGCCUGAGGAGUACGGCCGCAAGGUUAAAACUCAAAGGAAUAGACGGGGGCUCAUACAAGUGGUGGAACAUGUGGUUUAAUUCGAAACAACGCGCAAAACCUUACCAGUUCUUGACAUAAAUUUGAAUCUCCUCCGUAAUAGGACGAUAAAUUCGGUUUACAGGUGUUGCAUGGCUGUCGUCAGCUCGUGUCGUGAGAUGUUUGGUUAGUUCCCUUAACGAGCGCAACCCUCAUGAAAAACUAUUUACUUAAGUAAAAUUUUUCAGACUAACAGUUACAUACUGAAGGAAGGUGAGGAUCACGUCAAGUCGUCAUGACCCUUAUGAACUGGGCAACACACGUGUUACAAGGGCGGCCACAAAAGGAAGCAAUGACGCGAGUCGGAGCGAAUCCAAAAAGGUCGCCUUAGUUCAGAUUGCUCUCUGCAACUCGAGAGCAUGAAGUUGGAAUCACUAGUAAUCGUGGAUCAGCACGCCACGGUGAAUUUGUACCUGGGCCUUGUACUCCCCGCCCGUCACGCUCCGGAAGUCGAGUGGACUGGAAGACUUACCAUUUAGUUUCCUAUUAUUUUAUUUAUGCGUCUUUUUUAGACCUUCUUGCCUGUGCUUUCUUUGAAAGCAAAAAAGAAAGAUUGAAAUUUUUAGGUUUCUAAGUAUUUGACUAAGGGCUGUUUGGUGACUGGAGC